CGCGUAGGCGGCGUCGUGUAAGUCUGGAGUGAAAGUCCUCUUUUCAAGGGAGGAAUUGCUUUGGAAACUAUAGAGCUUGAGUGCAGGAGAGGUUAUCGGAAUUCCCGGUGUAGCGGUGAAAUGCGUAGAUAUCGGGAGGAACAUCGGUGGCGAAGGCGGGUAACUGGACUGCAACUGACGCUGAGGCGCGAAAGUGUGGGGAGCAAACA
rnacentral:rRNA from 1 species